rnacentral:misc_RNA from 1 species
GAUGAAGAACGCAGCGAAAUGCGAUACUUGGUGUGAAUUGCAGAAUCCCAUGAACCAUCGAGUCUUUGAACGCAAGUUGCGCCCGAAGCCAUUAGGCCGAGGGCACGCCUGCCUGGGCGUCACACGUCGUUGCCCCCCCAUCUACUCCUUCGGGAUUGCGGGGGGCGGAUGAUGGCCUCCCGUGCGCCUCGUCGCGCGGUUGGCAUAAAUGCCAAGUCCUCGGCGACGCACGCCACGACAAUCGGUGGUUGCGAAACCUCGGUUGCCCGUCGUGUGCGGUCGUCGCGCAUCGAGGGCUCGAAAAAAUUGCCGGGCUCCGGCUCGGCUUUCAACGCGACCCCAGGUCAGGCGGGGUUACCCGCUGAAUUUAAGCAUAUCAAUAAGCGGAGGA